rnacentral:rRNA from 1 species
UCCUACGGGGGGCUGCAGUGGGGAAUAUUGGACAAUGGGCGAAAGCCUGAUCCAGCAAUGCCGCGUGAGUGAAGAAGGCCUUAGGGUUGUAAAGCUCUUUUACCCGGGAUGAUAAUGACAGUACCGGGAGAAUAAGCUCCGGCUAACUCCGUGCCAGCAGCCGCGGUAAUACGGAGGGAGCUAGCGUUGUUCGGAAUCACUGGGCGUAAAGCGCACGUAGGCGGCUUUGUAAGUUAGAGGUGAAAGCCCGGGGCUCAACUCCGGAACUGCCUUUAAGACUGCAUCGCUUGAAUCUGGGAGAGGUAAGUGGAAUUCCGAGUGUAGAGGUGAAAUUCGUAGAUAUUCGGAAGAACACCAGUGGCGAAGGCGGCUUACUGGACCAGAAUUGACGCUGAGGUGCGAAAGCGUGGGGAGCAAACAGGAUUAGAUACCCGAGUAGUCGG